AGAGUUUGAUCCUGGCUCAGAUUGAACGCUGGCGGCAUGCCUUACACAUGCAAGUCGAACGGUAACGCGGGGCAACCUGGCGACGAGUGGCGAACGGGUGAGUAAUGUAUCGGAACGUGCCCAGUUGUGGGGGAUAACUACUCGAAAGAGUGGCUAAUACCGCAUACGACCUGAGGGUGAAAGCGGGGGAUCGCAAGACCUCGCGCAAUUGGAGCGGCCGAUAUCAGAUUAGGUAGUUGGUGGGGUAAAGGCUCACCAAGCCGACGAUCUGUAGCUGGUCUGAGAGGACGACCAGCCACACUGGGACUGAGACACGGCCCAGACUCCUACGGGAGGCAGCAGUGGGGAAUUUUGGACAAUGGGCGCAAGCCUGAUCCAGCCAUGCCGCGUGCGGGAAGAAGGCCUUCGGGUUGUAAACCGCUUUUGUCAGGGAAGAAAUCUUCUGGGCUAAUACCCUGGGAGGAUGACGGUACCUGAAGAAUAAGCACCGGCUAACUACGUGCCAGCAGCCGCGGUAAUACGUAGGGUGCAAGCGUUAAUCGGAAUUACUGGGCGUAAAGCGUGCGCAGGCGGUUAUGCAAGACAGAGGUGAAAUCCCCGGGCUCAACCUGGGAACUGCCUUUGUGACUGCAUGACUAGAGUACGGCAGAGGGGGAUGGAAUUCCGCGUGUAGCAGUGAAAUGCGUAGAUAUGCGGAGGAACACCGAUGGCGAAGGCAAUCCCCUGGGCCUGUACUGACGCUCAUGCACGAAAGCGUGGGGAGCAAACAGGAUUAGAUACCCUGGUAGUCCACGCCCUAAACGAUGUCAACUGGUUGUUGGGAGGGUUUCUUCUCAGUAACGUAGCUAACGCGUGAAGUUGACCGCCUGGGGAGUACGGGCCGCAAGGUUGAAACUCAAGGAAUUGACGGGGACCCGCACAAGCGGUGGAUGAUGUGGUUUAAUUCGAUGCAACGCGAAAAACCUUACCUACCCUUGACAUGCCAGGAAUCCUGAAGAGAUUUGGGAGUGCUCGAAAGAGAACCUGGACACAGGUGCUGCAUGGCCGUCGUCAGCUCGUGUCGUGAGAUGUUGGGUUAAGUCCCGCAACGAGCGCAACCCUUGUCAUUAGUUGCUACGAAAGGGCACUCUAAUGAGACUGCCGGUGACAAACCGGAGGAAGGUGGGGAUGACGUCAGGUCAUCAUGGCCCUUAUGGGUAGGGCUACACACGUCAUACAAUGGCCGGUACAGAGGGCUGCCAACCCGCGAGGGGGAGCUAAUCCCAGAAAACCGGUCGUAGUCCGGAUCGCAGUCUGCAACUCGACUGCGUGAAGUCGGAAUCGCUAGUAAUCGCGGAUCAGCUUGCCGCGGUGAAUACGUUCCCGGGUCUUGUACACACCGCCCGUCACACCAUGGGAGCGGGUUCUGCCAGAAGUAGUUAGCCUAACCGCAAGGAGGGCGAUUACCACGGCAGGGUUCGUGACUGGGGUGAAGUCGUAACAAGGUA
rnacentral:rRNA from 1 species